rnacentral:rRNA from 1 species
UACGUAGGUGGCAGGCGUUAUCCGGAAUUAUUGGGUGUAAAGGGUGUGUAGGCGGGGCUUUAAGUCAGACGUGAAAUCAAGGGCUCAACCCUUGACUUGCGUUUGAAACUGGAGCUCUUGAGAGUGGGAUAUGUAAACGGAAUUCCUGGUGUAGCGGUGAAAUGCGUAGAUAUCAGGAGGAACACCGGUGGCGAAGGCGGUUUACUGGACCACAACUGACGCUGAGACAUGAAAGCGUGGGGAGCAAACA